rnacentral:rRNA from 1 species
UCAAAAUUAAGGGUAGUGGUGCAGGGCCGUUCUUAGUUCGUGGAAUGAUUUGUCUGGUUAAUUCCGAUAACGAACGUGACUCAAUCAAAUUAAAUAGAACGCUAUCAGCAGUCAGAUGUUGAUACCGACGGUUCGGGCAACGGUCGCUCGCCGUUCGCGCUCGCCGGCGGUGUAGUGUGAACUGAUAAUACGUCAACCCAUCGUGGUUGACUUCUGCUUAAUAGGACAAUUUGUGUUCAGCAAAAUGAGAUUGAGCGAUAACAGGUCCGUGAUGCCCUUAGAUGUUCUGGGCUGCACGCGCGCUACAAUGUGAGCAGCAACGCGUAUCCUUGCCCGAAAGGGCCGGGAAAUCGCUUAAAUGCCCAUUUAGUCGGGAUUAUGGAUUGAAAUGGUCCAUAUGAACCUGGAAUUCCCAGUAAGUGCUGGUCAUUAGCUAGCGUUGAUUACGUCCCUGCCCUUUGUACACACCGCCCGUCGCUACUACCGAUGGAUUAUUUAGUGAGGUCUUGAAGGUGAACAUUGCUAUCCCCUCGGGAUUACAUUUGACUCGCUGAAGUUGACCGAACUUGA